rnacentral:lncRNA from 1 species
GUAAAUCAUGAAAAUUUAUGCUGACAACCUAGGUAAUUCUUGCAUACUUUUAUGUAUCCAUUCCUUAGGACAUAUACUGGUGCUUAUCAACAUACACUUUUCACAUAUAAAUGUGCACUCAAUUGAUAUAAUUGCUACAUGAAAUAUAAAAAAAAAAAUAUUUCAUUGUCAAUUAAAUCAAAAUACCUGGGAAAAUGUAAAAACAUCAGGAACAUCAAUGUAAUUGGUGGAUAAAAUAUCUCGGAAAAGUUGUAAUUUACUUGUUAUAUGAAAAAUACAAGGAACAUUGAUGUUAUUGCCAUGUAAAAUAUAAGGAAAAUUGAAGUUAUUCUCAUGUAAAAUAUCUGGAUAAUUGAUGAAAUUCUCAUGUGAAAUAUCAAGAAAAUAAAUGAUAUUCUCAUGUGAAAUAUCAGGAAAAUUAAUUUUAUUCUCAUUUGAAAUAUCAGGAAAAUUAAUGCUAUUCUCAUGUGAAAUAUCAGGAAAAUUAGUAAUUGUAGCAUAUAAAACAUUAAGAUGCUUAAAUUGUUAUGUAAAUGUAUAACUGUAUUCCAUUUACAUGUGGGGCAUUUUGGGAUUUUUCUUGUAGUUGUAUGUAUGUUAUUGUAUUUUAGAUUUUGUCUGUUAUGUGCUAUUAUUGUGUUAUUGCUAAUGGAAAACUGUUUGAAAAUCACUAAACAUUUAAGGCAGCAGUGAACGAAUGUUGUUGUUUCAAACUUUUAAACAAACAUUUCAUGACGAUGGAAAAAAAAUACUUAAAAUGUAUUUUAAUUUGAAUAAUUGCGUCUGAUAUUAGAAUACUACAUAAUUGACUUUUUCAUAUAUAUGUACUUGAAUCUUUAGAUUUUCUAUAUAGAUAUAGAAUAGACCUCAAAGUGCAUUUAUCGUAGUUCAAUCAUUCAUUUCAUUAGUUACUUUUUUUGCAAAGGAAAUUGAUAUUACAUAGAAUUCAUAGUUAGCUCACACUUAUUCAUAAUUUCAUACUUUCUGUGAUAUUUUUGUAUUGUUGUCAUAUAUAUAUGUAUGUGUAUUGUCUUUUUUACCGCCAGAUUUUUUUAUUGUGCUGUCAUUUUGAUCAUAAUUUCAUUGGUUGUGUAGUGUGAUAACAUCACAUUCAUAUUUUGCUAUUUUUCUAUCAUUAUUCUUGGUCAACAGAGUUAUUGUGUAGAUUCUUGCCACCAGGUGAUGUUAGUAUAAUUAUGUUCAUUAAUACACAAGGGGUAUUCUUAUUGAUAAAACAAAACCCAACAUUUCAAGACAAGAUAGAUCAUGCAAAAGAGAUAUUGUUCUCAUUUUCGUUGAUUGUGUUUUUAAUCUUAAGUCUUUUGUUGGCCUCCUAACUGCUUUAAUUUGGCGCCACUGAUAAGUCUUAUAUAAAAGUAACUAAUGUCUUGCAUACCAAAUUAUAAGUUUUAUAUCUUUGAUGAUUUAUUAAGUAAAAAAUGGUCAUAUACAUCACUCUUACAGAUAUUUGUACUUAUUAUUUAUUAAUUACAUAUUCUGAGAAGAAUACAAUUAAAAGACAUGUUCUGUUGUUCAAUUUGGAAAAGUAGAAUUUUUAAAAGCUUAAUUUCUGUUCUCUGAAAUGUAUACAUACAUAAUUGAACCAAUGUCAUUGGCAUAAUGCAUCCAGUUUUGUGUUGUUUCACCAUUUUCACUGCAUUUAAUCGCUAGUUUGCUCACAAUUUGAACUAACAUUACAUCUUUAUUAACCGGUGACAAGAAAGUACAUUUUAAUUUUAUCUUUGCCAAAAAUAGAAAACUGCCAUAGUAUGGGAAAUACCUCCUUAUACUUACUAUUAGAAAGGAGGUAUUGCUAUUGUAGAAAUAAUAUAUAGAUUUCCUGUUAAACAACUGUUACCAAAUAAAUUAUUUAAAAUAGUUUUC